GAGUUUGAUCCUGGCUCAGAUUGAACGCUGGCGGCAGGCCUAACACAUGCAAGUCGAGCGGUAGAGAGAAGCUUGCUUCUCUUGAGAGCGGCGGACGGGUGAGUAAUGCCUAGGAAUCUGCCUGGUAGUGGGGGAUAACGCUCGGAAACGGACGCUAAUACCGCAUACGUCCUACGGGAGAAAGCAGGGGACCUUCGGGCCUUGCGCUAUCAGAUGAGCCUAGGUCGGAUUAGCUAGUUGGUGAGGUAAUGGCUCACCAAGGCGACGAUCCGUAACUGGUCUGAGAGGAUGAUCAGUCACACUGGAACUGAGACACGGUCCAGACUCCUACGGGAGGCAGCAGUGGGGAAUAUUGGACAAUGGGCGAAAGCCUGAUCCAGCCAUGCCGCGUGUGUGAAGAAGGUCUUCGGAUUGUAAAGCACUUUAAGUUGGGAGGAAGGGCAGUAAAUUAAUACUUUAGCUGUUUUGACGUUACCGACAGAAUAAGCACCGG
rnacentral:rRNA from 1 species